CCCACCUGACCCCAUGCCGAACUCAGAAGUGAAACGCCGUAGCGCCGAUGGUAGUGUGGGGUCUCCCCAUGCAAGAGUAGGGAACUGCCAGGC
rnacentral:rRNA from 1 species